AUUGAACGCUGGCGGCAGGCCUAACACAUGCAAGUCGAGCGGAUGAAGGGAGCUUGCUCCUGGAUUCAGCGGCGGACGGGUGAGUAAUGCCUAGGAAUCUGCCUGGUAGUGGGGGAUAACGUCCGGAAACGGGCGCUAAUACCGCAUACGUCCUGAGGGAGAAAGUGGGGGAUCUUCGGACCUCACGCUAUCAGAUGAGCCUAGGUCGGAUUAGCUAGUUGGUGGGGUAAAGGCCUACCAAGGCGACGAUCCGUAACUGGUCUGAGGGGAUGAUCAGUCACACUGGAACUGAGACACGGUCCAGACUCCUACGGGAGGCAGCAGUGGGGAAUAUUGGACAAAGGGCGAAAGCCUGAUCCAGCCAUGCCGCGUGUGUGAAGAAGGUCUUCGGAUUGUAAAGCACUUUAAGUUGGGAGGAAGGGCAGUAAGUUAAUACCUUGCUGUUUUGACGUUACCAACAGAAUAAGCACCGGCUAACUUCGUG
rnacentral:rRNA from 1 species